rnacentral:rRNA from 1 species
GAUGAACGCUGGCGGCGUGCCUAAUACAUGCAAGUCGAGCGAACGGACGAGAAGCUUGCUCCUCUGAUGUUAGCGGCGGACGGGUGAGUAACACGUGGAUAACCUACCUAUAAGACUGGGAUAACUUCGGGAAACCGGAGCUAAUACCGGAUAAUAUUUUGAACCGCAUGGUUCAAAAGUGAAAGACGGUCUUGCUGUCACUUAUAGAUGGAUCCGCGCUGCAUUAGCUAGUUGGUAAGGUAACGGCUUACCAAGGCAACGAUGCAUAGCCGACCUGAGAGGAGAAUCGGCCACACUGGAUCUGAGACACGGUCCAGACUCCUACGGGAGGCAGCAGUAGGGAAUCUUCCGCAAUGGGCGAAAGCCUGGCGGAGCAACGCCGCGUGAGUGAUGAAGGUCUUCGGAUCGUAAAUCUCUGUUAUUAGGGAAGAACAUAUGUGUAAGUAACUGUGCACAUCUUGACGGUACCUAAUCAGAAAGCCACGGCUAACUACGUG